rnacentral:tRNA from 1 species
UUUUUAUCUAGUAAAGGACUGAUAAAUUUUUGAUGAAUUUCUCUGCAAUAUUCUUUUUCGUUCCAUUCGAAAGAUAGAUGA